rnacentral:lncRNA from 1 species
UUUUUAAAAAUUUUCUUUGAUAAGGAUUUAUUCUGUGUGGGAGUACACAGGUGUGUGAUGUCGAUCACAACAUUAUUGCCCUGGCAACAAACUAUGAAAUAAGAUAACAAAGAGAAUUAUGGGGUUUUAUAGGGUGAUUUUCAUACUGCGGGAAAUAUUUUUUUCCAUGGUUAAAACGAGACACAUGAGAACCAUGUCCCCUCUUGCUGAUAGAGCUGUGUGUGCUGGUGAUGUCCAGAGGCUGUGCAGCCACACUGAGGCCAUGAGGGAAUCAGUUUACUGUUGUGCUUGAAUGCAAAGGCCAAGGAAAGCCUCCAGGUGUUAUUGUUCUGCUGCAGAAUUCACCAGCCUUGGAACUACUUCCCUCUGGCUUCCCACAGUAAGAGACAACAGGCCCUGUUGUCAAAGCCACUGUGAAUCAGGCAUUUCUAUUUCACGUUGUUGAAAGCAAGCUACAGAAGUACAGGCUCUUUCCCAGGUAUUUUUCACUUGAGUUCUGUACGUGUUCAGCAGCAGACAGAGAUUUGCAGCUGUAGUACAGCAUAAACAAGGUGGCAGACUUACAGUCCCUUCUGACAGCUGGACUGGAUAUAGAUCUUGAAAUCGGCAUCAGAUUGCUUGGUCACUUUUUCCCUUUGAAGCGAAACUUGAAAAGGAGGCAAAAGAUAGUUCUUUUUUUUUUUUUUUUUAAGAUUUUAUUCAUUCAUUCAUGAGAGACAGAGAGAGAGAGAGAGAGGCAGAGACACAGACAUGCAAAGCUCAUCUGGUUUAAUACAAUGAAGUCCCGAGAUACUGUUGCUCUUAGCAAAAGGUCAGCAACCCACAACGCAGACCCACCUGCAACACGACCACGUUUCAGCACAAAGGGCCCAUUACUCCACAGCCAGUGCCCCCCUUGUUUUGCAUAUAACGUGUCCAUUUCACUCCUGCUUCAUCAAUCAUUUCUGUUUUCUCCAUUUUGGUCUUCAAAUCUGUACUGAAAACCAUAAACACAAUAAUCAUAACUUUGAAAAACGUUAGCAAAAUCAUCUUUAUGACAAACACGAGCUCAAGUCACUUUUGCCACCUUGAAGAGAAGCAGGUCAUUUGUGGAUAAAAGGCACGAGUAAUAAAAGCCUCCCAUGGGAGCACAGCCCAGUCAUAGAAACUUCGGGAAGCCCAGUGACUGAGCUGUGCUGCUAACCCUAAGGAACAGGUUACCAGACCAACUGAGAGGCACCAUUUCACCAGCGCGCACUAGUUCACACUCCGCUGGCAGGUCCCACAGGCGUCUUCUGCUUUGUGAGGACCUCACACUUGCCAGGGUCAGGGUGACGGGAUGGUGGCCAGCGUGGGUGAUGGUUAAAAGGAGUUGUCUAAAAGCCACCAUCUGUUUCCUCUGGGACUUCCGACUGGUCCUCACGGUGACUUUCACUGCCACUGUCUCUACUCCAUGCGACCGCCUUCAUGAUGCUAAUAAGAUGUAUCCAUAAUAUCAUUUUGUUUCUAAAAAGGUGCUGAUGAGUCCUGGUUGCUGGUGAAAGGCAAUCUUCAUGUGUCCCCUUUCCUCUGGGAGGUUUGAGGAGGGAAACAGCAAAUGGCUUUGCCUUUGCAAACUAAACCACUAUUUUACAAGCGCCCGGAAGUAGGAGCCCCAGCAUUUUGGCAAGCACAUUAGUUUUCUGUUUCGUCAACACGCUGGGAACCAGAUCGCUAUCUGCUUCAGGGGCCACAAGUGAUGGAAUGGAAGCAGGUGUGUCUGGGCAGGUGUGAAUGGAUGGAAUCUGCACGGCCUGCUCUUCACCUGGAGAUGGGGAGGGGUCCCCAUGAGCUGGAGGGAGCACACAGAGCUAGGGGACUAGGGUCCCUGAGGAGGAAGCGGGCAGCCCUGGCCACACGGGGAGAAGGAACGAUGGAGCAUGCCGUCCUCAGGAGAACCAGACACAGCCCACCACUCCUUGGUGUAAGGUGUUCAAAGCUCACUUCCUGAGGAAGAUUCCAAGAAGCCACAUGUUCCCACCAUUGGGAAAAGGCACAGCAGAGCUCUGACCCGGGCUGCCCUCUCACUUCUUCCCCUACUCCAAAAACCAUCAUCACGUUGCUGAUUUUUAUUGUUAUUUUUAAAUUUCUGAUUAUUGUAUUAUUAUUAGCAAUGUGCCACAGGACAUCUCCCCACAACCCAAGUAAGUCAGCAUGACUUCAUCACCUAUGACUCACCAGCACAAAAAUCAAACAAGUUCACAUCCGUGUCCACUCUGCAAGUCAGAGCCACGGGGCACUGGGUUCCACCACUGCCCAGGCCACGCUUGUUGAGAGGUCUCAAGUCUGACUGAUACAUGCCCCACUGGUGACUUUUGCCUACAAAUUCUGCCAACUGUUGUGUUGUUUAAGGGCUACACUUCUGGUCCUUGGGUGCUAAGGAUGUCCAGGGAGUCUUGAACUUACCCGUGAUGGAGAGAGGAUGGUGAGCAGUCCAAGAGCCUAGAUGGGCAGCUCCUAGCUAGACCAGGGGCAGGUAGUACACUGAUGCUGUGGAUGGCUGCACUCUCUGGACAUGACCAAAUGCCAUCAGGGCACACUUCAGAGUCCACCAGCUUCCUGGUGAUGGUGACAAGGGCAAAGGCAGAGACUGGCCCCCACUUUUUUUCCAACUCAUGAGCAAAAAACCUGACUCCCUAAGUGUUUUGAUCUUUCUCCUUUACACUUACAACCAAAGUACAAAAGUGUCUUUAGCCUUCGUGUUUUAUCUGAUCACUCAGUAGCUGAGCCAAGCCUCUUCCCCUGUACCUCAGGAAAGGGAUGACAGGAAGAAGCAUGCCAAGCAGAAGCUUGAGAGAGCUGGUAUUGGAAACACUAUUCUAAUUAUGCUAAUAUUCUCAUUCUUCUGAAACUCAUCAAGACUUACUCUCUGCCGCCUACUGUACAUAAGGCACCUGAAAAUAUGAAGACACAUUCUCCAUCAAAUAGAAGGCUCAUUCUAGAACAGGGCAUGCCUGUUCUGACCACUGUUCAUUUUCCAUGGUUCACCUUCCCAUGAGGAUAGCAGAUAAAAAAUUAAAAAAAAAAAAAAAGGCAAUGAAAGCUA